rnacentral:rRNA from 1 species
AGAUUGAACGCUGGCGGCAUGCCUAACACAUGCAAGUCGAACGGGAGUAGCAAUACUCUAGUGGCGGACGGGUGAGGAAUACGUAGGAAUUUGCCCUUAAGUGGGGGAUAACCCGGGGAAACCCGGAUUAAUACCGCAUGACCUCGAAAGAGCAAAGUGGGGGAUCGCAAGACCUCACGCUUUUGGAGAAGCCUACGUCGGAUUAGCUAGUUGGUGAGGUAAUGGCUCACCAAGGCGACGAUCCGUAACUGGUCUGAGAGGAUGAUCAGUCACACCGGAACUGAGACACGGUCCGGACUCCUACGGGAGGCAGCAGUGGGGAAUAUUGGACAAUGGGCNCAAGCCUGAUCCAGCAAUGCCGCGUGUGUGAAGAAGCCGUCGGUUGU